rnacentral:lncRNA from 1 species
UGCCUGCAGGCUAGGCCUGCAGCAUGUAGCUGACUUGGGAAGGCAUGCCGCUGCCUCAAGUAGUGUGUCGUCGCUCCUUGGGUGUCAUGCACUACCUUGGAUAGUGUGUUGCUACUGUCUUGGGUGGUGUGUCACUAUCGGUUAGGAGGUUCUUUCUCUAUUUUUUUAUGCCACCAUCGGAUCACGUCACAUCACUCUUUUCUCACUCAAUUUUCUCUCUCCUCACCGAUUUUGCCACUUCAUGCAAAUCUAACGAUCCCUAUUUUCUAUAAAUAGGGACCCCUCUCUUCCAUUUCAUUCUU